rnacentral:misc_RNA from 1 species
AAGACCAUUUUCCUGUUUUCGCUCUGUUUUUUCAUCGUGUUCGUCGCGAAAUUUGAAUAAGAAAAAUUCUUGAGAAACCAGUAAGUCGGUCUGUUUUUCCGAGUGCGGAAAAUAUCGAGAGAAAAACAUCUCCGGUCCAGUUGAAUGGUGGAUUAAGUGAAAAUUAUUGUAACCAGACUCAGAGGAAAUUUGAUGAAAAUCAGUCGACUCGAGUCGAUUGUCACGGUGAACGUGUCCGAGCACGCAGAGAAGUGGGGUUGGAAAAGUUUCGUCGAGAUUUUUCCUUUCUCAUAAGUAAAUUGUCGUCCGGUCGUGUCGGAUUUUCCCGUUUUAUUAUUCCGGAAAAUAGAACAAUUAUAGGUGCGAAAACAUCUGCGUUAGUUACGAAUUAGAAAGCAGUUUUCCUUUUGCUCUCCAGGAAUAUUAAUUUAACCCCCGAACUCCCCGCAUUCAGUGUUUGUCUGGUGGAUUUUCCCAACUUCCUUUCGUUAUAAAUACUAUGGAUUGACAUUGCUUGAGUUCUUGAAACAUAAUUAAUAUCGGUUUAUCCGCGGAACAAAUUUAUGAUCCCAUAUCCGCACUGUUCCCUGCUCCUACGAAAACAUGAGGACUUAGACCGUUUUAUUGGCAGUUUUCCGCCGAAUGACUCUGUAAAUAUUUGAGUCCCGACAUUGUGUUGCGACGUCCCCGCUGAAACCAAUCACAACCCCAAUCGGAACAAGUGUAAAUGUUUCCUGAAUUGAUAUUUUUAAUGCUCGGUCACUGAGGCUCCGGCGCGGUCCUAGGACAUUUAAUUGCUUAUCCGAUAUGCUGACUAAGGCACUGGAGCCUCGAACCAGUCGCAAGCUGGUGUGAAUUACCAAGGACCAUUCCUAGCCUUACCACUGAGCCGAGGAGCCAGUUCUGCAUUGCAAUGGAUCGCCCCGUCACCAUCGUGUUAGGAAGCAUGACAUCCGCAGUGUGGAACCUUUUGUAAAUAUGUAAAUUGCCUGACUAGUUUCAAGAUCAUCUGAUUAAUCGGCUCCGAAGGGAAAACUCCCUUUGUGGAGUGAAAAUUCCACUAGGGUUUCCCACGACGACGGCAAAAACGCGCAUAUCCUUUGUUUCUGUCAUGCCGCAGUGAGGCAUUGGUCUACCUGUGCGGCGUAUAUAUAGGGCAAACGUUAUCCUUUUACGUAUCGUGUUUACAAUGUGAGAUGUAUAUGUAUGUGUGGUCUUUCCUGUGUUUUCAUUUUUCUACCCCUUUGUAUCGAAACAGAAUCGCGAAAUCUAAAACAAACUAUGUGUAAUGGAAGUUAAUCCGCACCAAGUAUUUUUGUCAUUAAGUCUCCCUUUCCGUUUGCGUUUGACGUAUCCUGGAACUGCCUGGAAAGCCGAUGUCAUCAACACUGUCAUCGCCAAGACUCAGAAGAGAUAACGAAAAACUCAAUGUGCGAAAAAUGCCAAGGAAUUAUGUGAAAAACUGAAUUCACCCUCGACGUUAUUGUGUCCUUAGCUAGAAAACAAAGCGAAUCGUCUAGUCCUUAUUAGAGUAAAACGCAUGCCACGCAACCGUUCAUGAUUGUCCGAGUGCAACCGUAGUUCCUGUUCCGUUUGAGUAGUCAGAAGAGUCCCUCCUUUGUCCAAGCAAGAUUUCAGUUUGGUCCAUAGCUUUAUUAAUCUUAAAGUAUUGUAAAUAUAUUCGUACGAAAGUGUAGUGUAAGUGUCCGCAACUCAAUGAAAAUCAUGGUGAAUCCUUUGAUCCUUAAUCAGUAAUAAUCCAAGUAUAAUUCGUUUCUUUGCCGAAAUCAGAAGGGAAGUGCUCCGUUUCCCUUGAUAGCUCCAGUGUCACGCAGGAUUUUCCAACCCUCUCGGUCAUCGGUUCAUUCACAUGCACUAAGGAUAUAUAUGACAACCCCCCGCGAUACCGGGGUUAGACAACGUGACGACCUCACUGUCAGAUUUCUCCUUAACAAAUUACGUAGAAUACAUCGGAAACCGGAAUUGUAAAAUUAAUACAAAAUAUCCGGUUUAGAAGAAGACUGGCGGCCUGACCGGCCCAUGGUUCAAAGAGCCUCAUCGUCUGAUGCCCCAUCCGUUUCGGGCGGGGGUGGCCAACAUCACUUGCAUCAGUAUCAGCAGCAACAGCAUCAUCGUGAAUCACGAAUGGGGCUCGGUAUUGGCUAUGCAUCGUACCAAGGCGGAUAUAAUAAGCUCUUCACACAGGGUUCUGCCGAUUCAAAUUACUCGCAACCGUCAUCCGAUCUGUCGCUAGACGAGGACAAAGAAUCGCUUCGGCGAGAAAGGGAGCGUCAGGCCAUUAGCCAGUUGGAUAAAGCAAGGACGAAACCUGUUGCGUUCGCUGUGCGAACAAAUGUAUCAUAUGAUGGAUCAAUUGAUGAUGACUCACCCGUACAUGGUAGUGCUGUAUCUUUUGAGGUUAGGGAUUUUCUUCAUAUUAAGGAGAAAUAUGACAAUAACUGGUGGAUUGGAAGAAAAGUCAAAGAAGGCUGUGAUGUGGGCUUUAUACCCAGCCCCGUUAAGCUAGAACAUAUACGAAUGCAGGCAUCCGCUGCGCGAUCCUCACGACUGUACGCAACAAAAGGAUCAUCCAGCGGUAAUUUAGGUGGCCCCGGAGUACCAGGUGCGGAGCCUUCACGUGGUAGCACACCCCCUACACCUGGCGACGAAUCAGAUUCUAUGGGACCAUCUCGUCACGGGAAGACACCAUUAGCCACGCCACCAACCAAGGAGAAACGAAAGCCAUUUUUCAAAAAACAGGAGACAUCAUCACCCUACGACGUGGUGCCAUCGAUGCGUCCUGUUGUCUUAGUGGGUCCAAGCUUAAAAGGAUACGAAGUCACCGAUAUGAUGCAAAAAGCUUUAUUCGAUUUUCUGAAACAUCGAUUCGCUGGCAAAAUUAUAAUUACACGCGUCAUGGCGGAUAUAUCAUUAGCGAAACGUUCACUUAUGAAUAAUCCAUCGAAACGUGCCAUUAUGGAGCGAUCCAACAGUCGGUCGUCGUGUUUAGCUGAAGUACAAGCGGAAAUUGAAAGGAUAUUCGAAUUAGCGAGAACAUUACAAUUAGUCGUACUCGAUUGUGAUACAAUCAAUCAUCCGUCGCAAUUAGCGAAGACUUCACUAGCGCCAACUAUAGUCUAUUUAAAAAUUAGUAGUAGUAAGGUUUUACAGCGUUUAAUCAAAUCACGUGGCAAAGCACAGGCGAAAAAUUUAUCCGUACAAAUGGUUGCCGCCGAAAAGUUAGCCCAAUGUCCGCCAGAAAUGUUCGAUGUGAUACUAGAUGAAAAUCAAUUAGACGAUGCUUGCGAACAUAUUGCCGAAUAUUUAGAAGCAUAUUGGAGAGCAACACAUCCCCCUAUACGACCAGCCUCAACAGUACCUAGGCCGCUCCCAUCUCAGGAAGCGUCACCGUCGACGGAGCAGCCUAGGAUGGGUCCAACACCACCAGUAACUCCAGGAGUUGUUGUGCCAACAACAACCGGUGUUGCGGCUAUAAAAAUGUCACUAUCAUUGAUAAGCUAAUAUUUUUCAACCAAACACUAUAUUCAAACUAUUAUGUGUUAUUUAGUCAACGUCUACUUGUGUUUUAUGUUUUAAUUCAAAAAAAUGUCAAUCAUUUAUUUUUUCGUGCAUCCUAUCAUCACAACAGGCGCUCUACAACGCGCCACGAUCG